rnacentral:rRNA from 1 species
AUUGAACGCUGGCGGCAUGCCUUACACAUGCAAGUCGAACGGUAACAGGUUAAGCUGACGAGUGGCGAACGGGUGAGUAAUACAUCGGAACGUGCCCAGACGUGGGGGAUAGCUCGGCGAAAGCCGGAUUAAUACCGCAUAAGCUCUGAGGAGGAAAGCGGGGGACCGUAAGGCCUCGCGCGUUUGGAGCGGCCGAUGGCAGAUUAGGUAGUUGGUGGGGUAAAGGCUUACCAAGCCUACGAUCUGUAGCCGGUCUGAGAGGACGACCAGCCACACUGGGACUGAGACACGGCCCAGACUCCUACGGGAGGCAGCAGUGGGGAAUUUUGGACAAUGGGCGCAAGCCUGAUCCAGCAAUGCCGCGUGCAGGAUGAAGGCCUUCGGGUUGUAAACUGCUUUUGUACGGAACGAAAAGGCGCCUACUAAUACUGGGUGUUGAUGACGGUACCGUAAGAAUAAGCACCGGCUAACUACGUGCCAGCCGCCGCUGUAAGAC